GUGAGGAAUAUUGGUCAAUGGGCGGGAGCCUGAACCAGCCAAGUCGCGUGAAGGAAGAAGGAUCUAUGGUUCGUAAACUUCUUUUGCAGGGGAAUAAAGUGCAGGACGUGUCCUGUUUUGUAUGUACCCCGAGAAUAAGGAUUGGCUAACUCCGUGCCAGCAGCCGCGGUAAUACGGAGGAUCCGAGCGUUAUCCGGAUUUAUUGGGGUUAAAGGGUGCGUAGGUGGUUUGAUAAGUCAGCGGUGAAAGUUUGCAGCUUAACUGUAAAAAUGCCGUUGAAACUGUCGGACUUGAGUGUAAAUGAGGUAGGCGGAAUGCGUGGUGUAGCGGUGAAAUGCAUAGAUAUCACGCAGAACUCCGAUUGCGAAGGCAGCUUACUAAGCUACAACUGACACUGAAGCACGAAAGCGUGGGGAUCAAACAGGAUUAGAUACCCCUGUAGUCC
rnacentral:rRNA from 1 species